rnacentral:rRNA from 1 species
CCUACGGGAGGCAGCAGUGGGGGAUAUUGCACAAUGGGCGCAAGCCUGAUGCAGCGACGCCGCGUGGAGGAAGAAGGUUUUCGGAUUGUAAACUCCUGUCUUCAGGGACGAUAAUGACGGUACCUGAGGAGGAAGCCACGGCUAACUACGUGCCAGCAGCCGCGGUAAUACGUAGGUGGCAAGCGUUGUCCGGAAUUACUGGGUGUAAAGGGAGCGUAGGCGGGACAGCAAGUCCAGUGUGAAAUCUAUCGGCUCAACCGAUAGCUGCGCUGGAAACUGUGGUUCUUGAGUGAAGUAGAGGCAGGCGGAAUUCCUAGUGUAGCGGUGAAAUGCGUAGAUAUUAGGAGGAACACCAGUGGCGAAGGCGGCCUGCUGGACUUUUACUGACGCUGAGGCUCGAAAGUGUGGGUAGCAAACAGGAUUAGAUACCCCAGUAGUC